GACGAACGCUGGCGGCGUGCCUAAUACAUGCAAGUCGAGCGAAUCGAUGGGAGCUUGCUCCCUGAGAUUAGCGGCGGACGGGUGAGUAACACGUGGGUAACCUGCCUGUAAGACUGGGAUAACUUCGGGAAACCGGAGCUAAUACCGGAUAAUUUCUUUUCUCGCAUGAGAGAAGAUGGAAAGAUGGCAUCUCGCUAUCACUUACAGAUGGACCCGCGGCGCAUUAGCUAGUUGGUGAGGUAACGGCUCACCAAGGCGACGAUGCGUAGCCGACCUGAGAGGGUGAUCGGCCACACUGGGACUGAGACACGGCCCAGACUCCUACGGGAGGCGGCAGUAGGGAAUCUUCCGCAAUGGACGAAAGUCUGACGGAGCAACGCCGCGUGAGCGAAGAAGGCCUUCGGGUCGUAAAGCUCUGUUGUUAGGGAAGAACAAGUACGAGAGUAACUGCUCGUACCUUGACGGUACCUAACCAGAAAGCCACGGCUAACUACGUGCCAGCAGCCGCAGUAA
rnacentral:rRNA from 1 species